ACACGAGCACAACUCAUCAGUUCGCUUUGCUCCUUGUAAUCAUUCCAUCGGUAAUCGCACCUCAUUCAACUCACUGUGCGCGUACCAUGUAUCAUCAGCCAAGUCCCGUCGCAACAUAGGCUGCAGCACCCCCACCCCCACCCACAACACAGUUAGACAAUUCUUCAGGUGGGCAAGCCUACAUACGCGUAGCGUGAGGAUUUGACACUGCUGAUGUGGUGACGCCAGGCCCAUCUGAGCAUCCCAGGUUACGACUUUGCUGUAUUACAGCUAAGCUUGGAGACUCAGUGUGAUGUUUUGCAGUUCGUUAGCGUCAAAAAGCUUUGAAGGACAUCAUCUAGAGGACAGGAUCUGACAGUAUGUACCACGUGAACAUCUGAAAGGCUUUGGGCCUGUUACCCUUGGCUUUUGGUGCCACCUUUUAGUGCCUCUUUCCCCUAAAAGGAAAAAUAAGGUCCAUGGAAACCAUGGCCUUUUAAUGAUUUUUGGUGGCCUACUAGGGACGGCCCUUUACUGAAGUACUAAAAGUACAACAGGUUUUCGUUGUAACUUGCAUCUUUCCACCCUUUUAAUGCAUAAGGGCUUUCAUUAUCGGUCACACUUUAGCAUUCAGUCCGGAACUCUCAGUACACAGAUUUACCACUUGAGAGCUUACUGAAUGUCAACUAUAUCGCGACACCGUUGGGCAUAGGGCCCAGCGUGCGUGUUUGAGAAGGAGCCUACAGUGAAGCAGGCAUGGGCGACAACAAGGAUACCACUGAGACCUCCUUGACAGGCAAAGGCAUUUCUAUACCAGGCCGAAAAGAAGAUUCGGCAUUUCCUUUUGUGUGAGGCCAUGGGCAAGGCGUUGCGAAGCCAUAUAUGCCGCAUGCCACUCCAAUGCAUUUACACUUACGUGCCGGAUAUGACAAGUGCGGAAAACCGAAUCACGUAUGCGCUCGCGUAUAAAGAUGGGCGAUUUCUCGCGCGACUCAGGGAUCGGGCCGAAACUUGACCCGCCCAAAAAGCACAUCGACGCUGGUUACUGGGUUGUCUACCUAGACGAUAUCCUUUUCAUCUUCAGAAAAGAUUCGACCAGCCACCUCGAGCACAUGUGCCGUACUCGAAUACCUCAAAGGGGCGUGUUUCCGUGCAAAGCGUGAAGAGUGCGAAAUGAACAAGCCCAAAGUCAACUUCCUAGGCCACAUCGUUGGUCACGAUGGACUAAGGGUGGAUCCCCGAAAAAUCGAUGCCGUUUCCCUGGGCCUUGCGAACUACCUCCACAAGCUCAUCCAAGGGUACUCGUCGCUAGCGACUCCACUCACGACCCUCCCCGGCAGCAAACGGCUGACCUGAAUGGAAGAAUAUGCACCAGCAGGAUUCGACGGCAUUAAAAAUUAAACGCCCUCGUCAACGUCCCUUGUUGCGGCUUCCUGACCUUACCAAACCCUUAAAGUAGUAACCGACGCCAGCAUCAAAGGCACAGGCGGUGCAAUGCUGCAGGAUGGCCACCCCGUCGCCUACACCAGCAAGAAGUUCACACCUGCUCAAGUCAACUACACUACCACAGAGCAAGAGCUCCUGUGUACUCAAUGCCCUACACAGGAGUGGCGCCUGUACCUUGAGACCGCACAGGAUACCUUCAUGAUGGUCACCGACCACCACCCGAACAUCUGGUUUGAAACCAAGGAGUACCUGUCCCGACGCCAAGCACGGCGGCAAGAGUUCCUGAGCCGCUUCCACUACACAUGGUAGUACCGGCCGGGCUGCAAGAAUGUUGCUGAUCCUCUUUCUCGCAUUCAUACACCUGAAACGGCUGCGGUGGCAGCCAUGGUGAGCACUUAGUUGCAAGCGCAUUAGCUCGCUUUUGCUUUUCCCCUCUCCCUUCCCUGUUGUGCAGGUCAUCCUCGAAGAGCAGGUGCCGGUCGCGGAAGGUAGGUAUUUCGUUGCAAGCGUUGUUGCUACUGCUACUGCUGAGCAGUACUGGUGAGAUCUGCCACAGCUUGCAAACGUUUUAGGAUGUGUACACAACAUGGGCCCGGCGGUGCUGUCAAAGGAAGGGCCCCACACACGGUUGGGGUUGCGCCAGAGGUACAGGCAUUGCGAGGGUGAUGUGCAUGGAGUUGGCGGCGGUGAAUAGGAUGAACUUAUAUUCAUCCGACACUUGGUGGCUGUUGUGGGUUCGAUUCCCUCAGCGAUGGAGGGUACCGCGGCUCGUGUGACUGCUCUUACCUAGGGGCAGUUUUCGUACUAUGCAGAGAAAUCCCCAGUCACUUCUACUCCUGCUGCUAAUGGCAAAGCUGCUGAACAUAUUUCAGUGAACAUUUACUGUAAGUUUCGAUAAGGUCGUUGCAAAUUUCAAACGUUUUGUCGACCGACAGAUUUGCAUCGUUGUUAUGAAAAAUGUAGUCAGAAAACUAACCAGCAAUUGCUGUUAUACACUGCAGCAGCACCUGGGCAGCCAAUGAUGGCUCAACCCCGCCUGCUCAGGCUGCACCUGAGGUGGUCGACUUGUCAGGCAAGCUACCGCAGGCGUCUGUCUCUGACAUUGGGCAGGCAGCCUUUGCGGAGAAGUAUCCCUGGUGGCAGCAAACCGGCAAAAAUAAGCAAGGCCACGCGAUUGGUGGCUGUAGCAUUUGUCAGCAGCUGUAGGUUGCUUGUCGGUUUGUGGGUUUAAUUUUGAAGCAUUUGGAUGCACGUUUUGGAGACACUGAGCUUCUGAAGUGCUUUCGUAUUUUUGAUCCUGCUACAUAUGUGAGGAUGUCUGAGGAAGAGCGGCGUGGCUAUGGCCGUAAGGAGUUCGUGAAGUUGCUAGCACGCUUUUGCCACUCGGCAAGCUCUAACCGCCUGUUUGCCUUCAAUGUCAGCGAACUUGACAUUUUGCAGAAAGAGUUUUCAGUUAUGAGGUCUAAGAUGGCCUUGCAGUUGGAGCUGGGCCGCACCUCCUGGCAGCGGGCCUGGGCUGGAAUGCAUCAGUGGGUCCACUUCUUUCCACGCUUGAUUCAGUUGGUGUAUGUCGCUUGUGUCCUUCCCACUCAAACAGCGUGUGUUGAGCGUGGCUUCAGUGUCCACCGCAUUAUCAAGAACAGGCUGCGUAACCGGCUGUCUGUCCCGUCCAUUAAUUCCCUUCUGCGUGUUGGAUUACUCGGUCCAACCGUGGAUAUGAAAUGCAAACCCCUUAUGAUUAAAGCUGCUGAGGAGUAUGUUGCAGAGAACCUGGAUGGGCUCCUGCACCGUAUUGCCAAGGUGGGCGACUGUGUUCUGCCUGAUGAGAGUGAUGAUGAGGGCAGUGUGGGCAGUGAAAUUGCUGAGGCCUAUUAUCCUUCUGGUAAACACCGGGGUCCUGGUGAAGCAGCUGACCGCGUACUAAAGUAUAUAGAUGCGGAAGAUGCCGAAGUAUGUCGGUGAAACAUGAUGUGGCAGGAGUGGAGAGAACAGUGCAGCGGUAUAUUGUGAGUGUAGUUGAAGGGUUACAAGGCGUUCAGCGCACGGGCAAAUUUACGUGCAUACCUUUCAUCGUGGGCGCGUCACGUUGCAAGCUAAGCAACGCGUAUACAUGACGUGUAGCAUCAGUCCUCAGUUCACUUCUUGUAACGAACAUCAGCAUAGGUCCAAGCCCUCUCGCUUGGAGGGAUAUGCAAACAAACAUCAUGAUAGGUAAACUCGCACGCUACCGAGCAUUCAACCGAGCACGCUACGAGCAGUCCUUGUAAGGAGCAGCAUAUCACCCAAAACGCUGGUGUCGGUAUCGGCUGUUCCCAAAAGCUGUUCCAAGCCAUCAGCGGCGUCCAUGUCACCCACACGGCUCUGAACGACUUUUCUGAUCUUAUGUUUAAUUAUGUUUGUGUAUGUUAUAUUUUUUUGCGCAAGUUUGUAAUUUGACUUUACUCUGAACAAGGUGCUGUAUGCCCCUUUGCUUGCACAAAAGUGCCGCUUCACCAAAGAGAUGUCGCAAGCACUACAGGCAGUAAAUCUCCCUCAGUCGACAAGGCUGGGACACGGUCAGGCCGGGACACGGUCGGGACGGGACACGGUUGCAACGGGACAGAUUUCACGGUCAGAAUGAGGUCGUGGGCGACAUUGGGCCCCCUGAACUUCUAGAACUUCCUCACGCGACCUGACAUUCGACCGAAGCAUUCUGCCCUUUAGAGGACAAAUAUUUUCCUAUACUACCCCUAAAUUUGGCAGCAACUUACCGUGUGUCCAAACCACCACCCAAAUCUGCCGCCUCGGUGUAGCGGGACUCCGCCGCCGCCGUUCACUUCUUCAUGUUCUUAAAUAAAGGCAGGGUAAAUGGUUAUGGGCCCCCGCCUGCUACUUCCGUAUUAUUUUUUAAUAGUUUGCUUUGCGUCGCACGAGCAUAGACUGUUUUUUGCAUUAGCUAUACAACGACUCGUUUGACGUGCUUCCUGUGUGUGAUAUAAAUGCUAUCAUUUCAAUAUUCGCUGGUAAAGUAUGUGCAACGCACUUUUCGGCUGGCUAUUAAGUGUGUGCCGUCCGUCCAAUUCGGAUGCACAUGGUUCUGGCGGCGUGAAAUUUAUCUUUUGGCGUAUCUUGCGGCAUGUUGCCAUUUCGCUCGGUGCGUAUGCUUGGUGGUGUUGUCGGUGACUUCACAGUUUGUUUGGAUGGUCGGACCAGCAUAUUCGUGCAUGUGUGCUGCAGCAGACGCAUGGGUUGCUGUCGAAAGGCACAUGCCCUUUCCUGUUACAGGUAAUGCGGGAUUCACAGGUUGAAGAAGACCAUCAAGCAGAUGCUCCCAUCCUUUAGGAAGAAGACCAGCAACGACAAGUCAUAAACGGAGACUAAUGCGGACGAAUACCGACAUCAACGUAGAGAUACAGCAAGUAGACUUGAGGGCGUGGGACUAAAGACUAAGCCUUUGCCUGGCGACGUGACAGCGUGCAGCCUGGCUGACGACCAGACCAUGCAGAAGAAUAAGAACAAGACAAACUGAUCCAUUUCAUGUAUGCAAGACAUAACGGCUAUGAGAGCAGGGACCAGUACGAAACAUUAACUAUUAGCUACACAGUUGUAUACUCAGCUAACUUACCGCAACCAGCCCAUUUUCGUUGGAGCAAAUCGGCAAUAAAAUCACGCGUUCUUCAUAGGUUCAUAAUUCAGUCUACCUGUGAUGAUAGGUUGUGUAUAGUUCACGUUUGGUGAAUGUCAUAGUCAUAUAACUUGCGAUCAGCAUUGCAGAAGCGUAGCAGCAUGAGGCCGUCAUCUACCACGCAACAACGUUUAUAACAUGACGAUGUCGCUCCGUUGGAGUGGGAACACACAUGAAGCACAAUGCAGGAUUGUCUUUUGCAUUUUAGGUUGGCCAGUCCUGCAAUGCAAUAGGCAAUCAUGCACCACUGCAAUCAACAUUUCAUGCCUGCUGCGCUGGCCAAGCUCGCAGUGCAUUCAUGUCUUGACUGCUGUGCAUGCUCAUCAUCAGGUAUUCACCAUAGCUUCACGAAGUCGUAGUAUGUGAAAUGCCCAUCAUGCACCAGUGCGUAUUUAUUGAAGUAUUCAUACUUGCAUGCGUUGAAUACCCGCCAAACCUCACGUUGCAGUAUGGUUAUGGCGACUAUGCAUUGAAUAAUCACCACAGAGAUCCAAACCAUUCAACGAAACUUUCGAAUGCUUUUGCUGCAUAUAGGGUUGCAUUCAUACAGGUGUUGCCGCAAGACAUGCAUGCGUACGGCAGUCAGCCGCUCACUGAACCAUCAACCAACGAACACUCUUAACCGACAAGAAUACAUAGCUAUUUUUCAGCCUAGCAUCAUUGCACAUGCAUGUCUGUCACAUUUGUUCAAUCUCUACGCUGUCCGUGACGCAUUUGUCGGUGCAGCAGAACCACCAGCACCAUCUUGGGAUUGUCCGCCACCCUUGUCUUGUAGGUUGUCAUUGUAGUGAUAAGUUUUGCCGUUUGUCUUGUUGCCACCGUUGUUGCGCUUCGAUAUGAGCGCGGCAAUGAGUGUUGACGGUUGCGCCAGUGUCAUGACGUCUAGCUGCUCUUCUGUGAUUCGUUGACCCGCUUGGUUCGUCAGUUUCUUGAGUAAGUCUUUUUGUGAUGACGUUGCAGCCUGUGCUUUGACGGAGUUCUGUGAAAUGAGUGCCAACGCGUCCCUCUUGGAUAGUGGUUGCUGUGGCAGCUGUACGUUGAGCCUUUGCAACCGAGCAAGCUGUGCUGCAGUGGCCUGCUCUCCUGCUGCAUGGCUGUCCAUAAGCUGGCUGGCCUGGCUUUUGGUCAGUUUGUUGAUUUCGUCCAUGGAAAGUCCGCGCGAGUGAAGCACUGCUUGUUGCCAGCCUGAUGCAGGUUUUUCAUUGUAUUUAUUCUUGAAGUCUUCAUAGUUUGCUGACCUGUUGCUUAGGAGUCUUGAGCAUUCUCCUAUUGUGGUAGGCCAGUGGUAGGCCAGUGACAUAUCAUUAAGGUAUGCUUCUUGUUUUGGGGUUCGUUUGUUGUCCGGGUGUUGGGUGGUGCGACAUUGUGUUGUGAUGCUGGUGGGUGACGGUGUGUGAAAACCAAGGCUUUGGUACUGCUGGACGGAUAGUCCCAUAGCUUGAGCCUGGGACUGAUGAUUAACAGGUGUUGUUAAAGGGUUGACGGUUGGUGACAUUGCAGGUGGGACAUGGGACAGGCGUCUAAGGUCAUCAUAAUGCACAGUUUGUGAGAGGCAGGAAGACAGUAGCAGCAACAACAAAUGCAGGCUCAGCAGUAGUAUGAACCAUGGUGCUUAAGGGGGUACAUGUGCCUUGAACAUGUGUUGUGUCAAUUGGAUGUCGAUGGGCAGGAUGUGCAGCUGCUCAAUAUCCACAAAUCGUGACAGUGCUACAUAUGCUUGCCCUAGUCUGUUCAUGUUUGUAAAGUCAAUAAUGACGGGAUCAGUAAUGGUAUCGCCCUGCACCUUGUGUACAGUUCUUGCAAACACAGGCAUGACGGGGAACAUUUUGCGCUCAAGCUUGGCACCAUUCUUGUAUUUGACCUCGCAUAUCCUUGGCAGGCGGAUUAUGGAUUGGGAGUCCAAGAGCUGGAGUGACAGCAUGGAUUCAGUGAUUUCUUGCACGAUAGCUAAAGCACCGUUUUCGAUUUUUGGGGCUGACAGGUUUUUGGUAACCAUGACCGUCAUGCCAGCGAGGUAAAGGUGUUCUAAGAGCAUGCCUUGGUCUUGCAUUGCUUUGUACAGAUAAGCUACGUCAUCGGGCGUAUACCUAUUUCCUUUGUGAAGCUUGUCGGCAGCUGUAAUGUGGUACAGCUGUAGUACAGCUGUAAUGUAGUCAAUUGCAGUGCUAUCUUUUAUCAUAAUAAGCAUGAUUGCUUAUUUAAAAGCUAUAAUGAACAGAGUGAAUUGGCCAUUAAUUAGGUAUUGUUCUGCACAGUAGUCUUUGGAAUUUUUUAAACAUGCCACAAUAAUAAGUUACAGGCUUACCGGGGUUAUGCCAGAGCUUAAGAGCUGAGCGAAGUAUUCCAGCGCAGCUUGUGGUGGGGGUGGUGGAAUAGCUCCGGAAGGAGGUUGUGGAAGCGCAUUUGCUGGUGCGACUGCUGUUGGUUGUUGGCGUUUGGUAAUGGUAGGAAUUGCGGGUGCAAUGCGCCGACAGAUGCUGGCUUCAUAAGCCAUCCAUUUUGAGCUGGCACGGUAUUAGGUGACUAAAGCAAGUCAUGUUGCUGCGUCUCAUCGAAGGAUAAAGUAGCAGCGCCAGCGAUAGUUGGUGGAUGCUGGUGUUGUACUGCUGAUAGAGGAGAGGUGGCGAACGGUUGGACCAUUUGUUGGAUUGCCUGUGAGGUCGUCGCCGCUGCAGAAUUGUGUUGCUGUAUUGACGGUGUGGAUAUGCCAGCAGUAGCAGUAGUGUCUACGGCCAGCAAAUCAGGAUACAACUCGGCCGUAAACUCGUCGACACGUCUGCGUUUCCUCUGUUGGUUUUCAUUGGUCGCAGAUGUACCUGUUUUGACGAUGUCAUCAGUAAAGAGGGGUUUAUUGCAGGUAUUAAAGCUUGCCAGGACAAGCGACCAAUAUACCGUUCAUACAUAUUCUUAUUGCGAAAGGCACGAUACCGUAGUGCUACUUAUAGUUCGUGCUACAAUAAUUCGGGAGGCACCACGAAUAUGUAGCACGUACAAAUUCUAAGGUAUCCCAAGGGACCGCAGCCCCGAAAUAUCGUACCCUCCGAAGCCGGUCGAUCAAACUUCGCAAAAACUAGGAUUUCAAGCCGGAAAUCAGCUCUUAAAUACAUAAAAUAUAGUCAUAAACGUAGGACAUGAACAACGCUGGAAAACGUGCAAGACAGGCAACCCUGCUUCAAUGCGGGAUGAAAUCGCUAGCACCAAACGCUCCGGUGAGCGACCGAGCUGGAUUUGCACAAGUUAGGCUUGAUGGUGCUGUUGUCGAGGCCCAGCGUGAGCGAAUGGAGCACGAGGAGGUUCCUAGGCGCGAGCGCAAUGCGGUCAAUGCUGUACGGCAGCCGGCGAGGCGAGGCUUGCGCUCACGCCGCAGCCUGGCAUUCGACCUGUUGGACGUCCGCUUCAACAAAUCCGCAGGUCAAACAUGGCUCGGCUGCAGUUUGAAAAGCCCCGAAGCUUUGGAAGGGGCCCCGAAAUUUCUGUCAUGCCCGCAAAAUCUGGUCCGGCCUUCCCCGAAAUUCAAAGAGCACGUACAAAUUUCAGAAAGUUUUUUGACCCCUCCCCGAACAAAGCGAUCACGAACUAUAAGUAGCACUACGGUAUGUAAAAGAACACGUGAAAUGGUUAUUAGUACAAGACACUGAGAAAUAUUGGUUCGCGAUCAAAAACAGUUACUGGACAAAUGCUUUUGUACGCUUCGGAAAUUUUGUACGAUUCCACCACAACAUACUAGAGGUUAACUUUAUUGAUAACUCACACGCAUGUCUGAGACGUCCUGAGAAGAGAAUUUGACGCCUAGCUACCUCUCAAUCCCGGGGAUGCUGUCCGCGACCCUUGCGCUUAGUAGUAGUAGUCUUAGUAGUCUUAGUAGUAGUCUUAGUCUUAGUAGUAGUCUUAGUCUUAGUAGUAGUAGUCUUAGUAGUAGUAGUCUUAGUAGUCUUAGUAGUCUUAGUAGUAGUCUUAGUCUUAGUAGUAAUCUUAGUCUUAGUAGUAGUCUUAGUCUUAGUAGUUUUAGUCUUAGUAGUUUUAGUCUUAGUAGUCUUAGUCUUAGUAGUAGUCUUAGUCUUAGUAGUAGUCUUAGUCUUAGUCUUAGUCUUAGUCUUAGUGAGAUGGUUAUCCCAUAUGAAGAAAAAGUACAGUUUGUAUUCGUUUUCUUGCCUAACUGUUGCACGUGCCGGGUCAUGUUUCAUGCAUGUCCACCAGCAAAUCCAGCUGGGCAUGGACAGCAACCAUGUACUUGUGGAUUCGUUAUGUUUAGUAGUAUAUAAACAUUUAGCAUGGAUGAUAUUUAAAUGUGGUUUGUGGUGUCAAGUCGUGUAUUCCUCAUGUGGUUCGGUCUGCCCUGGGGCUGCUGAGCCAACCCCCCUUACAUCCCGGCUUGUUGAACAUUUGGAAUGAUUUUUCUUUCCUAGCACUUUGUAGCCCCAUGUCAUCUUGGACUUGCAGCAUCAUAUCAGGGGUCCAUUGGCUAUGGUAGCAUGAGCACUGUGUCAUAUUUUUAGCAUGUUCUUAUUGCCCUAUGGCAUAAAACGGGGGGUAAUCCCCUCUUAAGUAUAACCCAGGGCGUAGGGGUAGGGGUUACCCAUGUGGCUAUGUACGAAGGGAGGUGGGUAACCUAACCCCGGGGUAGGGGUAACCCCUUAUCGAGGGGUAACAAAGGGGUCGGGCUAAUACACUACUGAUGGGUAACAGACAGGGUAACCCAUGUUUACAUUCACCUGCGCCUGUCUACACACGCAAACAUACAUGUCUUCACCAAUCACUUGUGAAUGCCCAAUUAUCAAGAUUGCUGCACCAAAACAUGCCUUGUUUAGAAACCUAAACCUAAGGAUAUGGCACACAGCUGCAGCCUAGAUGCAAGGAGGCGGACGAACAGGCGUACAUAGGCGGAGCAAAUUGGGGACCACGAGAAGCCGCCAGCAAAGCUAAAAAUAUUCCUAUCAAAAAAUCCAGGCACUUAUCGCUGCUGCUAAAACUUGCAGAGCAGCCAAUGGGCUGCAAUGUAAGGUCGGCCAGUAGCUUAAGUGCUCCGUCUCGACCUGCUAAUUCCAGCUCUACACACGACCUAUGCAACACUAUCCAGAGUCUGCUCGUUUUCAGAGCAGAUUCUCCUAAGAGUGUAGAGGGGUCGCGUGGGUGGGAGAUCCGGAUGUUUGACCCCGAACACGGUCACACCCGGCGAAGUGUAAGGCGCCCUUCCGGGUAAAAAUCCUCGGAUGUCACUGGAUGUCUUGUUAAAUGAGGUGCACCACAAGUGUGGGCCUGUGCUGCAGAAAGAGUCAACGGUCUUGUCGUGGUGGUCUGCACGUGCAAACGAUAGAACACCACCAUUUUUGCCGCCAUACGCACCAGUAUUGCAACGUGGAUUAUAAGCGUGCAAAGUAUGUAUGGUCAAUAGGAACACUGCUGGCAGUGAAUAUGAUUGACUGAAUUGGUGAUAGUGGUCAUCGCGUUUUUUAGCAUGUCCGUCUAGUUAAAAUACCAGCCAUGAGUGUGCAUUACAUGAGCUUACAAGCAAAUUAGCUGUGAUUAAGCUUGGAUGUGCUAAUAUGUUGGCCGACCUCAGGACUGAUUGCCUGUUGUUUUCACAAUGCAAACUAUUAUAUAACAAUCGAUGACAACCAAAGGCAUCCAUUUAGUGAAGACCUGUCGUCGACUUGUGUAUAUGCUGCCAGCAUUCACGCCUUCCCCUGUACUCAUCUACAAGCUCCUGUUUUACAGCAGCCAAAUAGGCCAUGAGAUAGGUAUUUAUUGCUUAUUCCUUGCGUGUGUGAUGCCAGCAUUAGAGACCUUAAGGUUGAACUGGCAAACAAUGCUUCCCAAGAUACCACAAUACUGUAGGUUGCUAACGUUUACAUUUUAAAAAGUAUCCUUCAGCGGAAUUUACGGUGUGGGAUGCAUAUAAGACGAGUAGCCUAUAGGCCCAUACAUAUGUCCACAAUCCAGGGAAACGGAGGGGUUUACCCUGGGGUCAUGUUACCCCUCCUGCUGGGUAGGAACUUACAAGGGGGUUACCAAAGGGCUACCGGGGGUUGAAAAUGGGUAACCCAUGGGUUACUGCCCCAAUCAGUGCCUUAGGGUUGCCUGCAUGCUAAUGAUGUGUCCUGUAGGAAUAUGCCAAGCAAGCUGGCCUGAGGUUAUGGAUGGGCCCCUGGUCCUAUGUGGAGCUGGAGGCAGCACGUGGCAUCAUGUUCUCUUCAGUCAGCAAAUCUAAACUGUCAGAGCUGUAUGCUCGGUGGGGCGGCAUCCCACGUUACGUUGAAGUACGCAGCCAACCCCGAACUGCAGGAGGAGCUUGAUGCAGCGGUGGCAACCGUUAAUAUGGAUCUCUUGUGGAAAUCCGUAGGCAACAUUGAAGCUGCACCGGAUGUCAGCCACAAACUGAUCCACGUCGAGGUAGGUGUGAGGUCUUCUCUAUUUGACCAUUAGCAGAUGUGGCUCCAGGCAGAGAGUACUCCCAACUGGGAGAUGCCAGGGGAGCUGAUCCCUCUUACAUUCCUCCCCCCCUUGAGGAAACGUCCUCGGGCACCCCUGGGCAUAUCCCGUAGGAUUUAGGUUGUUUGAGAUCCCGUAGGGUUGUGUAUUAGUUUGUUAUUGUGACAUUUCGUCAGUCCCCGUCCGAGAUUGAGGACUUUGUUUUUACUCAGCUAGUAGACUUCCUGCCCACCUGGGUAUCCACCUUUGGGGUGAGAGUAUGCUGCAUCAUGCCUGGUGUGCGAUCUGCUCGCAACCAAAUUCGAUCCGGGGAGUUCCCACCUCCUAGCAAUUCGCACCAAUGUAACACCAGGCAAAGAGUACUCAGUUGGGAGAUGCCAGGGGAGCUGAUCCCUCUUACAGCAGAUGCCCCAUGUGUUGUGACUGGUGACUUUGCACUGGGCAGGCAAUAUUGGGUGGAUGUGCAUAUCUAAAGGCCCACAGGGGAAAAUCCGGUGGAAGAAUCACUGGAAAUCAGUGCCAUUUUUAAAAGCAGGGAUGCGCACAGAGUGUGGCAAUGGCAUGGGUUCUGCACACCAUCUGACAAGCCUUUCUCAUGUUGCAAUGACAUGCAGGUGGAUGAGAACUGCAGCAGGAAACGCCUAGUCUUCGGCUCCGGGAUAAUCGGCCAGCGUGUGAUGCAGGAGUUGCAUCGGCAGGGUACUGCUGAGUUGGCCAAAUUCGUUAAGUGGUCCGCUGGCAGACCAGAUUUGGCCUCACUUAGAGGCAUAAUGUUCCAGGGGCUAGCACAUGACUUGCUGUGCCGAGGCGGCUCGUUUCGUAUGUGCAGCCUUUCUAACCCCGGAGAGCAGGAGGUCAGCCUGGAGGUGCCGGAAAUGGAGUUGAUGGAGGUGCAGGACAGCGACCUCAAAAAAAUCAGCCCCACAACAAAAGGGUCUGGGCUCCUGGUGCCGGUGACGAGGAACUUCGCCGGCGUGGACAGCUUUUUGAUUUUGCCUGACAGCAACGGCAAGGCAGCGCGACUGCUCCUUAUCCAGGUGACUGUCUCUGCCAAUCACCACAUUAGCGCGUCAGGGCUGCAAACCUCCAUGCGGAAACUGUCCAGGGACCUGAAGGGGCUCAAGCGCGAAAUGUACUUUGCAGUGCCGCCCGACCUGUUCAAGCAGUUCAGGAAGCAACAGUUUGAGGGGGCAGCUAAGGACUCCAUCGAGAUCGAUCAGUUUGCCAUCGAGAUCCCCCUGGUAGGCUUUGCUCCUGGUUCCGAAUACAGCAGCCCUGGAAGCUCCAGCAGCAGCAGCAGCAACUUUCCGACUGCUGGCAGAGGUGGCCAUGUUGCGCCGUCUGCUUUGAGCAGGUCCCCAACGGGCAUCUCAAUUCCGAGGCGCAGCCAUCUGCCACGGUUGAAUCCACGCAUGGUCAUCCUUCCGAAGCCGCAUAUCUCGAGCAUCUCCUCUGCUGCCCCCAGUUGGCGGUGAUGGUGUCGCCACUGCAGCUGUGGCAGCUGCAUCCGCUGGUGAUGGCUGGUAUGGUGGCCGCUGUGGAUGUGGGCACAAGGUUGUGAACGUCAGAGGCUUAGAAAUCUAGUCGGUGGCUUUGCUUGUCUUGGUCACCAUGGCAUGAUGCCUUAUUGGGCCCUCUAGACAUGCAGAUUCAUGUUAACGGUUGGGCUCGCAGCUGGUGUGUACCUGGGGACUGGUCAUUGCUGGGCAUUUGCUCAUUUGCUGGUGUUGCAGGUUGUGUAGAUAUAGGCACAGAUGGGCAUGUAUCUGUAAGUGCCCUGAGUUUACAAGGAAACAGCUACAGAUAUGAGUGGUAGNNNNNNNNNNNNNNNNNNNNNNNNNNNNNNNNNNNNNNNNNNNNNNNNNNNNNNNNNNNNNNNNNNNNNNNNNNNNNNNNNNNNNNNNNNNNNNNNNNNNNNNNNNNNNNNNNNNNNNNNNNNNNNNNNNNNNNNNNNNNNNNNNNNNNNNNNNNNNNNNNNNNNNNNNNNNNNNNNNNNNNNNNNNNNNNNNNNNNNNNNNNNNNNNNNNNNNNNNNNNNNNNNNNNNNNNNNNCAAAAGCAAAACAACACUUACUAAAUGAUGAACCCAAAACGAUUAGCAUGGUGCUUUCCUUGAGAUACCUGUCACGUGCUACACCGUCAUGCAUGAAGGGAAGGUAGCAUUUUUGGGCGGGGCCCCAGCGCGAAGCGCCCAGGGGGCCCCCGACCUGUAGGAUUGCCCAUGUCCGUGUGUGUGUGUGUUGUGUGUGUGUGUGUGUAACGGACCAAACAUAAUAUCUCGCCCGGCUGAAACGCGAAAGUCACAACGCCUCUCGGGCUAAACUUAAUCUCAAAAGGUACCGCGUAUCUCAUAUUUGAAUUCUUAGAUGACGGCGUAUGAUAGCUCGAACUCCCAGGCCUUGAGUGUGUAACGGACCAAACAUAAUAUUUCACCCGGCUGAAACGCGUUAUCGGUAUUAUAUAGCAUUCUCUAUUGCAAGGUAUCUCGCAUGUAGCUAAAAAAGUUCGUAUGAGCACAGACAACUUUGGCUGCCUCCAUUAACCGAGCUCAUAGUCACAUCAACGCCUCUCGGGCUAAAUUUCAUCUCAAAAAGGUGCCGGGUAACUCAUCAUUGAUUUCCGAGAUGACAGCGUAUGAUAACUUGAACACCCAGCUUGUGUUACCAUUUGCCCGCACGGGCAUUCCGACUUGCCACCAGCAGGCCGACAAAUUUGCUUACAUUUCUCUAUGAAAUACGCAAGCUGAGCAUAUGUACAUUUACUUUAGCCAAUGCUCGGGGCCUCCGGAGACUUGCGGUGUGCCCCGAUGAAGCCCGCGGCUGUGGGGCGGAUUGCUGAGGCCGCUGGCGCUUCGGGGAUAAACAUCACAGACAGCACCGAAAUUCACCCAGCUUUCGUUACCAUUUGCCCGCACAGGCAUUCCGACUUGCGGUCUGCCACACUGUCCAUGCGGCAUGCACCCGGGAUGGAUGCGAUUCGCGUGGAGCCCGCAGGCGGUGCUGACGGUUCCGCCGGUGCAAGCUUAGCUCUCACACCAUCAGCACUGCUGCAACAAAGCACGUCUCCCACCGCGUUGACACUACCCAUCAAUUGUCACACGUGCUGCGCUAGCUACCGGCCUGUACGGAUGCAGGGGGGCCCGCUUUUUUCCGGCUUCGAGGAAGCCGACACCCGACUUGUCCUUGUUUGGGACCUUGUUUGCUUUUUCUCCAUUUUUGGGCGAGGCCUCGGACGCGAAGCGCCAUUCGGGGGGCCGAGCCAGGUGUUCACUGCUGUCAGUCAGUCAGUCUGUCAGGGGCUUACAUAUCUUGCUCCGCAAAAAAUAGCGUUGAAAAGCUAAAUCAAUUCUACAUCGAUUGUCCAAAGGAGGUAAUUCAGAUAAAUCGGAACGCAAAGAUACCUUUCCAGGGUAAGAUAAAUUUACAUAUCUCGCUCCGCUAAAGAUUGCAUGUAAAAGCUACAUCAGUUUUCACUGAUUGGCCAAAGGAGAACAUUCAGCUAAAUCGGAGCGCGAAGAUAGCCUUCCAUGGCUUCGAGUUUGACUUCCCCGCAGCCUUUGCCUCUGACGUCGUUGCAUGUCCCUUACAUGGUAGAUUCAUAAGCAAACGGCAUGAUUCUUUAUAGGCUGAUAACAGAUAGCGGAGCAGCUGUGAGGGUCACAAAUCCACGUGCCAGGAAGAAUAGCGUGGGUGGUCAAGCGGCAAAGCCAAAGCAGGUACCAAACGGCUACAUGUUGUUCACGCAAUCACAGAAGGCAGAAGCAGCGGCAGCUGGACAGAGCUCCCUGCCUCAUGAGCAUACAAAGCAAAUCGCCUUGAAGCGGCGGCAGCUGUCACAGCCUGAGAGAGACUACUGGAACGCGCAGAGCAUGCAACUCCGGGAGCACCAAACGGAGCACUGAAUGUUUGAAUCCCAGGCAGGCGUGAUGAAGGAGGCCGCUGUGUGAAUCUGUGUGAAUCUCUGGCAGCCGUGUGACUUGUGCUGCAUGUAAUCUGAUGAAGGGCCAAAGGUGCUGUGUGAAAUCUAACACGCCCUACACCACACACAUAACGCAAUGCCCUCUAAGACCGAGAAUUCAUGCACUUCUUCACAUACACUGAAUGAAUGAAGGUUACAGCGGACCCCGUGCAAGGAAUCGUCGGUGCAAUGCAUCCCCGCAUCACAAUGCCCGAAAGUUAACAGUAGCUACAGCCCGCCAGCAGAACACCCAAAAAUGCAGAGACACCCAGCGGGACACCACUACAAGGGGCAAACAAGGGGCAACAGCGACGCAUCACGACUGCACCGGAAAAGGAUAAAGCAGAACUCGGGGGAAGUCACCUACACAGGCACCUCAGGACACACUACCACCACCUACACGCAGCGCUCCAAGGGGGUGGCGCUUGCAUCAGCCAGAGCUUUGCUCGGCUCACCCGAGCCACCAUCUUCAAUUCAACUUGGCCCACCGUGCCGAGGGCCACGGGGCAGGCCCAGAAGUGAUGCGACACGACUUGACCUGCCAGACCUCUUUGUCUUGGAAUCCUGGUUCCUGUAGUGAGCCUCCGUUACAUCUCUUUGCGUUUUCAUGAGUGACCGCUGCAUUGCUCGAUUGCGUUCGGUUCCGGAUGGUUCCACUUGUUCUUUAACUUUUUGUUCACCGUAUUCUUGAUGAGUUUCGUAAAGCUUUUCAGGAGUUCGUUUUGGUUCGGCUAAUGCCACCACAACAAAGUCUACUUUGACGAGCGGAGCCCCUUGUCCUAUUAUUAUAUGGACGCUUUUUUCACGAGGAAUGGAAAGUGCAUUGCUACAUGGCCAUACAGAGUGGCUGGUCGCGCAAAGUUAAUUCCUGGACUCCAUAGACGUGCAUCAUUCCACAAAGUGCGUCCUGAGACGCUCGAGCGAUCCGAAAAAGGUUCAUACGAAGGUCCUCUGAUGAAAUGUCGAGCGAGCCAAACAAAAUCUGUGAGUUGCCAGGUCAAAUCGCCCAGCUGGACGAGCGUGUACGGCGCCCGGUCCGCCGGCACCCAGUGUUCGGGCCGAAACGGAAACCUGCCGAAACGGAAACCUGCCGAAACUAGUUUCGGUGAUUCCGGCGAAGAGGUCCUGGUUCUGCGGAAAUGCCGAAACUAGUUUCGGCCCCUUUCGGCUAGCGCCGUACGGCGGAACCUACUUUGAAUAGUUUCAAAGUGUAGGCGCGUUGUGCAAGGCUGCGAAACUCUGCGAAUGUUGAGUUUAUCUUAUCAAUGUCUCAGACAACUUCCGUUGUCAGUGCAGACACAGAUUCGGUCAAAAACAAGGGCGGAAGGACCGCUGAUCAGACCGUUUGGGCUCACUUUGAGAAGAAAAAAUAUAAUGCAAAGUGUAAGAACUGGACUAUCAUCUGCAAGUACUGCCGGACCGAGUCCAAGCAAGGGCGCCUUCAGGAGAUGCGCGUCCAUAUCGCGCAAAAGUGCGCGGGACCCGUCCACCCAAGAUGGCUGUGAGCAGUGGUAUGGAGGGCAGAUCUUCAACCUGGUUCAGCGGCCCCCAACCACCAGCAGCUUCAUGUAAAAGUUUCCCUUUGCGCAUCCCAACAUCAGACGCCAGUUACAUAAGAAAAAUGUCAGUGAAUUCAAGCUUUAAUCGCAGAUUAGUAACAUUAUGGUGCCCCGGAGUGCCUUCGGACACACAUGAGCAGGUCCCUUGAGGCGCAAAGGCACAUAGGGCCCACGAACAACGUUUGCAUACCAUGGACGUCAUAAAAUACAGCAUUUUCAGGGUUUCGGCAGGUUCCGGCAGGUUCCGGCAGGUUUCGCAGAAGGGUCCAAAAAACGGAAACUAUUUCGGCAUUGGCAGUAAGGUUUCGGCCCGUACACUGCCGGCACCCGAUAUGGAUUGCUUCCUUCAUGCUCGGCAAACCCAUGGCAACGCUCUAAUGGGGUCUUUCCAUUGGCCAGCGGCUAAGAAAUUUUACAAGUUGACUAUAGAAAUAUAUGAAUUUCACUUUCCAUUGGGCCCACUUUACACCAGGGAUCUAGCCGAUACCGAAACGUGCGGAAACGGAAACCUGUGGAAAUAGGUUUCUUCCCACUUUCCGCAGAGAGCCUAGAAUGACGAAAGUGCGGAAAGAGAAUCCGCAUUUCCGCGUUUGCAGUACGGCGGAAAGUCAAAAACAGAUUCUACGCCUGCGUUUGCCAUUUACAUACGUGCGUUUACUUCAAUACUGAUAUUACUUUAGGGUACAUGUUGACAUGGCCAUACUGCAAGCGAAGCUGUCUCAAGCGAGCCUCCUCAUUGAUAUGACCUCCAAGGUACUCAGCGGGAGUUCCGUGGAAGGACAUUGACAAGGAAAUGGCACUGGCCGGUUUGCGUAGCAGGCGAAAAUAGACUGUUUUUCGUCUUCUACUACAAAACCGAUCUGUGUUUGUGCGUAUAUAGACUUUCCUUUUACCUUGUCGUACAAUAGUACAAGGGUUACAUCGGUCGUACAUUCGGUGUCUUCUUGACUGGAUUUGAUCAGGGAUAAACGUUGCCCUAGGUUACCAAAGUUGUUUUACGUUCUGAAUAUGCGGGGCCUGCACAAGUGUGGCCCAACAGCGAUAUGGUUGACAGUCAGCAAGGGGUGAGAGCUCUCGGGUAGUAAAUUUGUGUACUGACAGUUCCGGACGGAAUGUCCGAGUGUGACCGAUAGUAAAAGCCCUUAUGCAUUAAAAGGGUGGAAAAAUGGGUAGUGAAGCUUUUGCAGUGUUGUGCCUCUUGAGUGCCUAUCUGCACUCGAGGGAAGACUCAGGAUCGCUAAUAGCUUUUACAUGCACAUGUUGAAACUGGGCUUUCGGGUACAUUAGGUUAAGUUGCUUGCCCCGCAAACGGUGCUGGUACUUUCAACGGUCCUCAACGGCUGGCCUCUACAGCUACAUGUUGUCAAUGGUUGCAUUAGCGUCAUGGGCCGCUUGGUGGGCGCUUUGGAAACGGAGGGAGGAGGUUGCACAAUUGGGUGUGGUUGCUUCAUAAGUAGUACACCCAAACGUUCGGCUAUAGCUGGUCAGAACCUCCGCUGUGUAUCCUGCAGGUCACGUGGUGGAGAAGUUUGGAAGAAGCUACCGGACGCAAAGGUUUAUGUUGCUUGUUUUGCCGUGUUUGUCUUUUCGGACAACAAGGCUCAGGCUUUUGUGAACGCAUCCCAGGAUUACCCGAAUACAUUCCAGGCAAACCAGGCGAAGAAGUCGGCCUUUCGGCCACCAAGGCACAAACCAGGUACAAGACGACGAACGUUUUUAUAGUGUGAAGUUUAUUACACGAGCACAACUCAUCAGUUCGCUUUGCUCCUUGUAAGCAUCCCAUCGGUAAUCGCACCUCAUUCAACUCACUGUGCGCAUACCAUGUAUCAUCAGCCAAGUCCCGUCGCAACAUAGGCUGCAGCACCCCCACCCCCACCCACAACACAGUUAGACAUUUCUUCAGGUGGGCAAGCCUACAUACGCGUAGCGUGAGGAUUUGACACUCUGCUUAUGUGGUGACGCCAGGCCCAUCUGAGCAUCCCAGGUUACGACUUUGCUGUAUUACAGCUAAGCUUGGAGACUCAGUCAAAAAGCUUUGAAAGACAUCACCUAGAGGACAGGAUCUGACAGUAUGUACCACGUGAACAUCUGAAAGGCUUUGGGCCUGUUUCCCUUGGCUUUUGGUGCCACCUUUUAGUGCCUCGUUCCCCUAAAAGUAAAAAUAAGGUCCAUGGAAACCAUGGCCUUUUAAUGAUUUUUAGUGGCCUACUAGGGACGGCCCUUUACUGAAGUACUAAAAGUACAACAGGUUUUCGUUGUAAUUUGCAUCUUUCCAUCUUUUGAUUCAUAACGGCUUUUGAUAUCGGUCACACUUAGCAUCCAGUCCGGAACUCUCAGUACACAGAUUUACCACUCGAGAGCAGACUCAUUAUUGUCAACUAUAUCGCGACACCGUUGGGCAUAGGGCCCAGCGUGCGUGUUUGAGAAGAAGCCUACAGUGAAGGCAUUUCUGUACUAGGCCGAAAAGAAGAUUCGGCAUUUCCUUUUGUGUGAGGCCAUGGGCCAGGCGUUCCUGACGCAGACGAAGCCAUAUAUGCCGCAUGCCACUCCAAUGCAUUUACACUUACGUGCCGGAUAUGACAAGUGCGGAAAACGAAAUCACGUAUGCGCUCGCAUGUAAAGAUGGGCGAUUUCUCGCGACCUGCGACUUUGCAAGGUGCAAGCCGUACGCAAGAGUGCACUUCGCCUCGCACCCGCAAUUUGUUUUGCAACCAGCCAUAAGUGUACAGUCCACACUUGUGCAGGCCCCGCAUAUUCAGAACCUAAAACAACUUUUGGUAACCUAGCGCAACGUUUAUCCUUUUGAUCAAAUCCAGUCAAGGUGGUGUCGAAAGACACCGGAUGCGAUACACCAGCGUAGCCAUCCGAUGUACGACCCGUACUAUUGUACGGCAAGGUAAAAAGUCGGUGGUCGGUGACCAGCAUGAAGGUAUCCUGUGCGGUCUCAAGGUACGGCCGCCACUCUUGUAGGGCAUCGAGUACAUAGAAGCUCUUGCUCUGUGGUAGUGUAAUUGACUUCGGCAGGUGUGAACUUUUGGCUGGUGUGGGCGACGGGGUGGCCAUCCUGUAGCAGCGCACCGCCUGUGCCGUAGAUGCUGGCGUCAGUUACGACUUUGGAGGGUUUGGUAAAGUCAGGAAGGUGCAACAACGGGCGUUGACGAGGGCGUAUUUAAUGCCGUCGAAAGCCUGCUGGUGCAAGUUCUUCCUUCGGUCAGCCGUUUGCUGCCGGUGAGGGCCGUGAGUGGAGUCGCUAGCGAUGAGUACCCUUGGGUGAACUUGCGGAAGUAGCUUGCAAGGCCCAGGAAGCCGCACAGCGCCGUCCUGUCUUUUGGGACGGGGUCGUUCUUAACGGCCUCAAUUUUUCAGGGAUCCACCUCAGUCUAUACUGGCCUACGAAGUGGCCUAGGAAGUUGACUUCGGGCUUGUUCAGCUCGCACUUUUCGCGCGUUGCACGUUAACACGCCCCUUUGAGGGAUUCGAGUACGGCACGCAUGUGGCUGGUCGGAUCUUUGCUGAAGAUGAGGAUAUCAUCUAGGUUGACAACGCAGUAAGCGUCGAUGAGCACGGUGUUUAUGACCUUUUGAAAGGUCGCCGGUGCAUUAGUCAACCCGAAGCACAGCACUUUGUACUGGGACGUUCCCAAGGGUGUCAUGAGGCUGGUUUUUGGGAUGUCCUCCUCCGUGAUGCGGACUUGAUGGUAGCCGCUUUGCAGGACGAGGGAUGAGGAGAUACUCGCGCCCUGGAGUUUGUUGAGGAGGUUGGUGAUGUUCGGAAGUGGAUACCGGUUUUUAUGGUGAUUUUGUUAAGAGUGCUAAAGUCAAGGCACAUGAGAAGCGAGCCGUCCUUCUUUUGUGAGAAGAGGACGUGCGCACCGAAUGGUGACUUCGAUUCUUAAUUAAAACCUUUGGCCAGCAAGUCAGAGAGCUGCUUUUUCAACUUCGUUUGUCCAGCCGUGAAAGCCGGUAUGGCCGGGAGUAUGGCGGCUUUAUGCCAGGUUCCAGCUCGAUGGUGUGGCCAGUGGCGAGUCAGGCCCAGCCCGUNNNNNNNNNNNNNNNNNNNNNNNNNNNNNNNNNNNNNNNNNNNNNNNNNNAACCUAAGGAGAAGGAGAUUAGCCGAGAUGCAAGUAGGCAGACGAACAGGGCGUAAAUCGGCCACGCGCAUUGGAGACCACAGUAAGACGCAAGGGUAGCCAAUAAUUUUCCCUGUCUUAAGGGCAAGCACUUACCGGCGCUCCGGACCCAAGACUUAAAACUUGCGGACCAGCCGAAGGCGACGAAAUCAGAUCUGAUAUGGGCUUUCCACGCUUCGAACAUAUGAAGGACGCUAUGAAGUGGGAACCUGAACGCCUGGCAAGGAUGCUGGAACGUAUAUGGUCUCACCGCAACUCUAUCGUUCCCUUUGGUCGUUAGUAUCCUUCAUCACUUGUUUCGUUGGAAGUGCGAGGUAGGAUGGUGCUUAUAGGCGAUUUGGCAGCCCUUGAGCCCUCGGCUCGUACUAGGGUGGUUUGCAGGUACGGGGAACGCACCCACGACCAUGUAACAACAACAACAACAACAUGGCUUGCGUGGGGCUGUAAAAUUAGUUUUUGCAUGAGUGUGGCGAGAGAUGAGAACAUGUGAAGCGCCUGAGUGAACUAAGGUGCUGGCUUUGGUGCUAGCGAAGUUGCACGGUAAUGGCAGCACGGAGCUGUCAGUAAGAGGUUCUAGUGCAGAACACUUAGCAGUUUCCUGACAGGUGUCGAGACAAGCGUGGAACUCACCAGUGCAGAAUGGGUAGAGGUGGGAGAGGAGGGAGAGGAGGGAGAGGAGGGAGAGGAGGGAGAGGAGGGAGAGGAGGGAGAGGAGGGAGAGGAGGGAGAGGAGGGAGAGGAGGGAGAGGAGGGAGAGGAGGGAGAGGAGGGAGAGGAGGGAGAGGAGGGANNNNNNNNNNNNNNNNNNNNNNNNNNNNNNNNNNNNNNNNNNNNNNNNNNAUGUCGUCGCUUGUCAUGAAGGUAGCACUGUUUUGCAGUUUUNUGAUCUGCUUCAUAAACACCAGGUUGGGGAUAGGUGACAUUGCCGCGUGCGGUUUACCACAGUUACAUAAUUCAUAACCGCAGCACCCUUGGACAGCGGCUCGUUUAGGCUCUGCUGCCGAUGUGAGCGGCCAUGGCGUGUCACCAUGCAGGUGCCCUGGCCAAAGUCGAGUACUACACCGUGUUCACGCAUCCAGCGGCUACCAAGCAUGAGAUCCAUGCCUUCGACUAGCUUAGGCAUGACCUGCGCUACGAUUUUGCAGCGGAACCCUUGGGUACGGAUCGACAGGUGUACCUGAUCUUGCAGGCAGACGCUGUUUGCGCCGUCUCAGCACGCAAGAUGCUACAUGGCUUGCAGGGGCUGGUGCCUGCAGCCGAGAGAAUCGCUUAGGAGAGCGCUAGAGCGGCCCAACAGACAAAGGACUUCUACUUCCAACCUGGGCAUAAACGCCCAGCGGAAAAGGCCGGCUAACGGGGGGCCCGGCAGAUCCGGCGGCGGCGCCGGCGACAACCCCAGGGCCAGGAAAGAAUCCCUACGGCAAGCGCAAGACACGAGAGUCAGCCAACAUCGCACACAGAACAGGGGGCAGCAAACAGAUAACCCACAGGAAGCGCCAAAGGAGGAGACUCGAGAGAUGGAGCCGACAAUCCAACCAGGGAAAGCGGACCCCCCGGAAGGCCGAGGCCGUCAGUGCGAAGGGGGACCUGCGGAGAGCGGGCCCGUCUCAUGGAAGCGCAAAAGACAACACAAUCGUUCGGCGACACCUCACCACGCCACGCAAGCCCCGACCAGGAACAAAGGAAGGCUGCACGGAGCCAGUCGCGUCAGUGCCAAGUAAGGCAAAGGCAUCGAUCUGGGCACGACAGCGGUACGGAAACGCAUCACAAGGAUCGCACAUUCAGGACAACCGGAAAUCAGUGGAUUACUUUAAAAUAAUCUAAACCUAAGGAGAAGGAGAUUAGCCGAGAUGCAAGUAGGCAGACGAACAGGGCGUAAAUCGGCCACGCGCAUUGGAGACCACAGUAAGACGCAAGGGUAGCCAAUAAUUUUCCCUGUCUUAAGGGCAAGCACUUACCGGCGCUCCGGACCCAAGACUUAAAACUUGCGGACCAGCCGAAGGCGACGAAAUCAGAUCUGAUAUGGGCUUUCCACGCUUCGAACAUAUGAAGGACGCUAUGAAGUGGGAACCUGAACGCCUGGCAAGGAUGCUGGAACGUAUAUGGUCUCACCGCAACUCUAUCGUUCCCUUUGGUCGUUAGUAUCCUUCAUCACUUGUUUCGUUGGAAGUGCGAGGUAGGAUGGUGCUUAUAGGCGAUUUGGCAGCCCUUGAGCCCUCGGCUCGUACUAGGGUGGUUUGCAGGUACGGGGAACGCACCCACGACCAUGUAACAACAACAACAACAACAUGGCUUGCGUGGGGCUGUAAAAUUAGUUUUUGCAUGAGUGUGGCGAGAGAUGAGAACAUGUGAAGCGCCUGAGUGAACUAAGGUGCUGGCUUUGGUGCUAGCGAAGUUGCACGGUAAUGGCAGCACGGAGCUGUCAGUAAGAGGUUCUAGUGCAGAACACUUAGCAGUUUCCUGACAGGUGUCGAGACAAGCGUGGAACUCACCAGUGCAGAAUGGGUAGAGGUGGGAGAGGAGGGAGAGGAGGGAGAGGAGGGAGAGGAGGGAGAGGAGGGAGAGGAGGGAGAGGAGGGAGAGGAGGGAGAGGAGGGAGAGGAGGGAGAGGAGGGAGAGGAGGGAGAGGAGGGAGAGGAGGGAGAGGAGGGAGAGGAGGGAGAGGAGGGAGAGGAGGGAGAGGAGGGAGAGGAGGGAGAGGAGGGAGAGGAGGGAGAGGAGGGAGUGGAGCACGUUUUAUGUUGCUUGUUUUGCCGUGUUUGUCUUUUCGGACAACAAGGCUCAGGCUUUUGUGAACGCAUCCCAGGAUUACCCUAAUACAUCCCAGGCAAACCAGGCGAAGAAGUCGGCCUUUCGGCCACCAAGGCACAAACCAGGUACAAGACGACGAACAAGACGACGAACGUUUUUAUAGUGUGAAGUUUAUUACACGAGCACAACUCAUCAGUUCGCUUUGCUCCUUGUAAUCAUUCCAUCGGUAAUCGCACCUCAUUCAACUCACUGUGCGCAUACCAUGUAUCAUCAGCCAAGUCCCGUCGCAACAUAGGCUGCAGCACCCCCACCCCCACCCACAACACAGUUAGACAAUUCUUCAGGUGGGCAAGCCUACAUACGCGUAGCGUGAGGAUUUGACACUCUGCUUAUGUGGUGACGCCAGG
rnacentral:lncRNA from 1 species